rnacentral:rRNA from 1 species
AGUGAACGCUGGCGGUAGGCCUAACACAUGCAAGUCGAACGGCAGCACAGUAAGAGCUUGCUCUUACGGGUGGCGAGUGGCGGACGGGUGAGGAAUACAUCGGAAUCUACUUUUUCGUGGGGGAUAACGUAGGGAAACUUACGCUAAUACCGCAUACGACCUACGGGUGGAAGCAGGGGAUCUUCGGACCUUGCGCGAUUGAAUGAGCCGAUGUCGGAUUAGCUAGUUGGCGGGGUAAAGGCCCACCAAGGCGACGAUCCGUAGCUGGUCUGAGAGGAUGACCGGCCCCCUUGGAACUGGGACACGGCCCAGACUCCUACGGGAGGCAGGCGGGGGAAAUUUUGGACAAGGGGCGAAAGCCUGACCCAGCCAUCCCGCGGGGGUGAAGAAGCCCUUCGGGUUUUAAACCCCUUUUUUUGGGAAAAAAAAGCAGCAGGUUAAAACCCCGCUGUUUUGACGGGACCCAAAGAAUAAGCACCGGCUAACUUCGU